GAUCCCAAGAAGGAGGUGUGUGAAUGCUGGGUGGUUUCCAUAGUCACUGAGUUUGCAACCAGGACAGAGCUAACUAGCUCUCAGGACUCAGGUGAUCUGGGUUGUCCUUACAGAGUGGCAGCUUUAUGAACAGUUCUUGGUGGCCUGUAGCCAACUGAGCCAAACUCAUCACCUCGGGCCCCAGAGGUGAGUUACGGGUCUAGACGAGAACAACCUUCUGAGCACAUAAUGACAGUGAGCUUCCCCAGGUGCUUCCCAAAGGCCUGAACCCUUCCAGCAAAGCAGAUUCCACAAGAAGCAACACAGUAAUAGCAAAGGAGUGGGAUUGCUGGAUCAUGUGCUGUCUACAAGGAGACGAAUCACCAGGAAAGAGUACUUCUCGGAUGGGGUCAGAAUCCUUAUCUGCCUGGAGCAGUGCCAUCUAGGACCAGAGUCAAUUCCUUUCCCAACUGAAGUUACUUGCAGCCAUCCAAGGCAGCCUACUUAUCCUUACCUGGACACUUCUCCAUAUCCUAUGAAAUGGCCUCUGUCAUUGCCUCAAACCCGCAUCCUUGGAAGCCAGCUGCCAUGUCAUGAGGACACUAAAGUGGCCCUGUGGAGAAGCCACAUGGGGAGGAACGGAGGCCUCUCCCCCAUGGCCACGUGAGUGAGCCACCCUGGAAGCAGAUCCUCUGGCCCUGGUCAAGCCAACCCACAACGACUGCAGCCUCAUGAGAAACCCACGCCGGAACCACCUAGCAGAGCCGUUCCUGAAAUCCUGACCCACAAACAUUGCAAGAUAAUAAACAUGUGUUGUUUAAGCCACUAAGUUCUGUGGCAUUUUGUUACAUAGCAAUAGAUGACUAAUACAGGACUCUCGAUCUUUUCCAUAGC